ACCUCCCAGGCACAGCUCAGAUAUGCUUGGAGUCUGUUCAGUCAUGGCAGCUAAUCUGUCUGCGAUGAACGUGAAUAUAGAACCUUAUCGAUAAUCAUUUGGUUAAUUACAAGCACAAGACGAAAUGGCACUCCGUGUGCGUAAAAAAGGUGUAGAGAAGGAAAGCAGGAACUACACAGAACAAUUCAGCAUAUAGUGUGAAAAUUAAGGAUGUCAAGUCAUGAGCAGAGCAAGAAUGUAGGGGUUGCUGUCAGAGGUGACAGGAACAGGAGGAGGUGCAGAAAAGAUCAUCACCAUCUAAGCAGCUCCCCCACAGAUCACCCUGCGCAUGGAGAAUAUAGAAGCAGCAGGACAGAACAGCACAGCAAUCACAAACCUCCUGUGUAUCUGAAGCUGAGAUAGAAUCACCAGCACUGAAGCUAAAAACCGAUUUCAGUGACAUCUGGCAGAAUUUGCCAGCUGUUAAUAUGUGACUUCAUCCAUGGUAAAACAGGUAAAAAUGCACAUCUUCAAUGAAUGAAUUGCACAACAUUGAAGAACUGAGAAAAAGCACUAGAAAUGAAUCGUAUU